AAAAGUAGAGUUUUAGGUCUAAUAAGGAUUUCUAAGAUUUCUUAUAAUUUAUCAAUUAAAUUGGAGUGAAAAUUAUGUAUGUAGGUAUAAGACUAAUUUUCCUACAUAUAUGAAAAAUUUGACAUCAAUUAAACUAUUUGAUAAGGAAAUAUCGGCUCUGGAAAUUCAACAUUUAGAUUGGAGAAGGAAGCCGGCCAAUAUCUGUGCAAAUAUUAAGA
rnacentral:lncRNA from 1 species